UAUUCUAAGGCGCUUGAGAGAACUCAGGAGAAGGAACUCGGCAAAUUGACACCGUAACUUCGGAAGAAAGUGUGCCCUAUUAGUGUGAAGUGAACAACGGAGCAUGAAUGGGUUGCAAAAAAUCGGUGGCUGCGACUGUUUAUUAAAAACACAGCACUCUGCAAACACGAAAGUGGACGUAUAGGGUGUGACGCCUGCCCGGUGCUGGAAGAUUAAAUGAUGGGGUGCAAGCUCUUGAUUGAAGUCCCAGUAAACGGCGGCCGUAACGAUAACGGUCCUAAGGUAGCGAAAUUCCUUGUCGGGUAAGUUCCGACCUGCACGAAUGGCGUAACGAUGGCCACACUGUCUCCUCCUGAGACUCAGCGAAGUUGAAAUGUUUGUGAUGAUGCAAUCUCCCCGCGGAAAGACGGAAAGACCCCAUGAACCUUUACUGUAGCUUUGUAUUGGACUUUGAACAGAUCUGUGUAGGAUAGGUGGGAGGCUUUGAAGCCGGAACGCUAGUUUCGGUGGAGCCAACGUUGAAAUACCACCCUGGUGUGUUUGAGGUUCUAACCUAGGUCCAUUAUCUGGAUCGGGGACAGUGCAUGGUAGGCAGUUUGACUGGGGCGGUCUCCUCCCAAAGCGUAACGGAGGAGUUCGAAGGUACGCUAGUUACGGUCGGACAUCGUGACGAUAGUGCAAUGGCAUAAGCGUGCUUAACUGCGAGACUGACAAGUCGAGCAGAUGCGAAAGCAGGACAUAGUGAUCCGGUAGUUCUGUAUGGAAGGGCCAUCGCUCAACGGAUAAAAGGUACUCUGGGGAUAACAGGCUGAUACCGCCCAAGAGCUCAUAUCGACGGCGGUGUUUGGCACCUCGAUGUCGGCUCAUCUCAUCCUGGGGCUGUAGCCGGUCCCAAGGGUAUGGCUGUUCGCCAUUUAAAGAGGUACGUGAGCUGGGUUUAAAACGUCGUGAGACAGUUUGGUCCCUAUCUUCCGUGGGCGCUGCAGAUUUGAGGAAGCCUGCUCCUAGUACGAGAGGACCGGAGUGGACACACCUCUGGUGUAUCGGUUGUCACGCCAGUGGCAUUGCCGAGUAGCUAAGUGUGGAAGAGAUAACCGCUGAAAGCAUCUAAGCGGGAAACUCGUUUCAAGAUGAGAUCUGCCGGGGCCUUGAGCCCCCUAAAGAGUCGUUCAAGACCAGGACGUUGAUAGGUCAGGUGUGGAAGCGCAGUAAUGCGUUAAGCUAACUGAUACUAAUUGCUCGUGCGGCUUGACC
rnacentral:rRNA from 1 species